UACGUAGGGGCUAGCGUUAUCCGGAAUUACUGGGCGUAAAGGGUGCGUAGGCGGUCUUUCAAGCCAGAAGUGAAAGGCUACGGCUCAACCGUAGUAAGCUUUUGGAACUGUAAGACUUGAGUGCAGGAGAGGAGAAUGGAAUUCCUAGUGUAGCGGUGAAAUGCGUAGAGAUUAGGAAGAACACCAGUGGCGAAGGCGGCCUUCUGGACUGUAACUGACACUGAGGCACGAAAGCGUGGGGAGCAAACAGGAUUAGAUACCCGGGUAGUCCCUGAG
rnacentral:rRNA from 1 species